rnacentral:rRNA from 1 species
GAUUUAAUGGAGAGUAGGAGCGCCAGACUACAUCAUGGAGGCGGCGAAUCAAGUUCUCAGUCGUGGUAGAUAAGCCCAUCAAGCGACAUCAGCUGGUGUAUGAGACGCUAUCACCCUCAUGGUCGUAAGGGCCCGCCUGCUCCGAGGGAGGCAGCAGUGAGUAAUGUGAACGAUGGACCAAAAGCCCAUCCAGCAUGCCGCGGUAGGAUGCAGACGUCUGAAUAGAAAGCACGUUUGAGAGAAAGAAAUGGCUAUGGUUAAUGCGCGGGGUCGAGACAGUGCCGAAGAAUAAGAGCCGACUAACUUCGUGCCAGCAGCCGCGGUAAUACGUAUGCUACGAGCGUUAAUCAGAAUUGCUGGGCGUAAAGCGUGCGCAGGCGGUUGUGCAAGACAGAUGUGAAUCCCCGAGCUUAACUUGGAAAUUGCAUUGGUGACUGCACGGCUAGAGUGUGUCAGAGGGGGGUAGAAUUCCACGUGUAGCAGUGAAAUGCGUAGAGAUGUGGAGGAAUACCGAUGGCGAAGGCAGCCCCCUGGGAUAACACUGACGCUCAUGCACGAAAGCGUGGGGAGCAAACAGGAUUAGAUACCCUGGUAGUCCACGCCCUAAACGAUGUCAGCUAGUUGUUGGGGAUUCAUUUCCUUAGUAACGUAGCUAACGCGUGAAGUUGACCGCCUGGGGAGUACGGUCGCAAGAUUAAAACUCAAAGGAAUUGACGGGGACCCGCACAAGCGGUGGAUGAUGUGGAUUAAUUCGAUGCAACGCGAAAAACCUUACCUACCCUUGACAUGCCACUAACGAAGCAGAGAUGCAUUAGGUGCUCGAAAGAGAAAGUGGACACAGGUGCUGCAUGGCUGUCGUCAGCUCGUGUCGUGAGAUGUUGGGUUAAGUCCCGCAACGAGCGCAACCCUUGUCUCUAGUUGCUACGAAAGGGCACUCUAGAGAGACUGCCGGUGACAAACCGGAGGAAGGUGGGGAUGACGUCAAGUCCUCAUGGCCCUUAUGGGUAGGGCUUCACACGUCAUACAAUGGUGCAUACAGAGGGUUGCCAAGCCGCGAGGUGGAGCUAAUCCCAGAAAAUGCAUCGUAGUCCGGAUCGUAGUCUGUAACUCGACUACGUGAAGCUGGAAUCGCUAGUAAUCGCGGAUCAGCAUCCUCAUUUUCCGCGG